AGGCUUUUCAUGCCUGAAAGACCCCAUUUCUUAGUUGUCCGGUCCCCAGUAGUAUCAGUGGCUUGGGGAUUUCUUACUGAGCUCAGCUCAUUGUCCCCAAAAUGCCUCCCCUUACCCCCAACUCGAGCGUUUCUCUUUCCUGCUCUGGGCCCAAGCUCUUCCCGUGGUUCUUGGUGUCAGCUUCAUUCAAGUCACUCUCCCGCCUCUCAUUCCUUUCUCCCCGCCUUUCUUCACUUCCUUCCAAGUGCCCUCUCCAUUUCCCGGUCACUGGUCCCAAAGCUCCGGAUCGCAGUGGUUCCAUUUUAAAUUUCUUUGCUUUCUAACGCAACUUUCUACGGUAACUGAAGUUCCCGUGUUCUUUUUCACCAUGGUCUCUCCGUUUUAAUGUUUUGGUUUUUUUUAACCCAGGCCCCUGGUUUAUGAGCCCUGGGUACGUCCUUCCUGUGUCCCGUUUGGCCUCCUGGGUUACACUUCUGUUCACCCCGUUUGGCCGGUUUUUUUUUUCUUUUUUUUAAACCUGCCGGUUUCUCAGUCUCCCCCUUUUCCGCUGGCUACCUGUCCCUUUCUCGCCGCCCAUGUUAACUUUAGCAUGCCCCGUUCUCGCUCUUCAUUUUCCACUGGGUAUUUUUUAUGUUUCCCAAUUUUAAAAACGGCCCAGCGCACCCCUUUUUCUGGGACUCCACUUUUAUCUCUGGCACCAGUGUCGGCCUCCUCCACCUCUGCUCCCAUUUAAUCGCUAAUUUCCUGCCUCCUGAGGACCCCCGUUUUAUUGUCCUGCCUCCCCCCUCCCAUUUUUCUCUUCUCUAAUUUUCUGAGUCUCCAUUUUUUGUCUCCCAGAUUCCUUCGAUUCCUGGAGUCUUACAGGCCUCAUUUUUAUGUACACGUCAUGGAAAAGAAUAAAAGGUUGUGGAGGCCAGGAGUCUGGAAUGAUCUUACGAGGUUAACAUCAAGGUGUUGGCAGAGCUCGUUCCUUCUGGACGCUCUAGAGCAAGCUUGUCCAACUUGCAGGCCGCAGGCCAAAUUCGGCCCAGGAUGGCUUUGAAUGGCCUCUGCAUUUGCUGUUGCCUCUGCCAGGAACACUCAGCCCACGGAUCUUCACCUAGCCAGCUCCUUCUCAUUCUAAGGAUAGAUUAUUACCACCUCAAGGAGACCUCCCUGCCACCCUAGGAAAAGUGCCCCUCUUCUUAUAAAGGCCUCCCUUUUAUACAUACCAUUUUAUUAUCCUCAUAAUUAUUAUCAUAUCUGGACCUAUCUUACUUAUUUUUGUACUUUCUGUCUUCCUUCUACCCCCCAUGCCACCCAGGAUAUAAGCUCUGUGAAAGAGGAAUGUUUGUGGUUUUAAUAUGUACAGACAUUCUCUGACACUCCUCCCUUCAAAAAGUGGUGCCUAAUUCUUCCCAGUCCUCUUCAAUGUAGGCUGGACUUAUUGCUAAGACACAGAGCGUGGCAGAAGGGAUCCCAUGUAACUCCUGAGGCUAGGUCAUAGAAAGGAUAGCAUCAGCUUGACUCACUCCGUCUUGAUCAUUUGCUCUGAGGGAAGCCAUCCGCCAUGUUGGAAGGACACUCAAGCAGCCUUAUGGAGAAUCCCACAUGGAGAAGAAAUAGUUGCCAGGCAUGGGAGUGAGGACUUCAAAAGUAGAUCUUUCAGAUGAUUUCAGCCCUGCAACCUUCAAUUCUUCCGGCUGACACCCCAGACAUACAGAGCCAAGACAAACCAUCCCCAAUGCCCACUGUGCCCUCUCUGAAUUCCUGACCCACAGAAAUCGUCAGAUAAUAAAUGAUUAUUCUUGUUUUAAGCCAC